rnacentral:lncRNA from 1 species
UCUCAUUUUGAUAGUGGUCUUUGGAAAAUUGGCAUCAAUGUUGCUUACUUGCUUGGAUAGUAUUCCUCAAUAUUUUGUGUGUAGAUGUGUUGGCUAAUGGCUAUCGAUGUCCUUUUCAGUUUUGUGAGAUCGUUUUGUUUGUUAAACGUGUUGAAAAACAUGUCAUAAAGCUGCUACACCCUUUUGUUCUAAGCGUGUGUAUAUGUAUUAAUUAUUACAUUUCAUUGUAGAAUCAUAAUCGGCUACAAAUCUACUAGUAGUUUGGUAAUCAUUCAUUUGGUAUUUGGUAGAGACAAUGAUUUGCAGAGCAUUUACCUUAUUUAAAACUAGUGGUCGCUGAAGUCUAGUACCUAACUCCCCCAAGGCCAAAAUAUCACAAUCAAAUAUAGAAUUUAUCAAUAUUGAUUAAAAAUAUGUUCUGCCUGACAUAGUUGUGGAAUAAAACAAAACCAAUCUCCAUUCAUUAUUUUGAAAAAAAAAUCAAACAUAUAUCAAAUAGGAUCUACCGUUAAUCCACCAAUUUAGUGAAUAUUUUAAAGUUUUACUAAAU